GACUUUAGGGAUAGCAUUGGAAAUGUAAAUGAAGAAAAUAUCUAAUAAAAAAUAAUUUAAAAAAAAGAAAGAAGGAAGAAGGGCUGGAGAGAUGGCUCAGCAGUUAAGAGCACUGACUGCUCUUCCAGAGGUCCUGAGUCAAUUCCCAGAAACCACAUGGUGGCUCACAAACAUCUGUAAUAGGAUUCCAUGCCUUUUUCUGGUGUGUCUGAAGAUAGCUAUAGUGUACUCAUAUACAUAAAAUAAAUAAAUAAAUCUUUAAAAAAAAGGAGAAAAUGCCUUGUAUCUUUCUAGAAAAAGAAAAGAAUGAUCUACAUUAGUAGAUAGUAAUAGUCACAGAAUGGAGAGCUAUGCAGGAAUAUUAACACAUUUACCAAUGUGAACUUUUCAAUAGUAUUAAAAUAAGUCUACCUCCCUGAAGAGUCUCUGCUUCUUUGUCCCCACUAACUGAUCCCGAAAUCAUGUUCACAUGAUGCGUCUGCUGGGUCAGGUAUUCCUGGAAAUCUUUUACAAAGUCCAAAGGCUCUGGUUUCUUUUCACCCAUCUUGGUGCUUUUUUUUUUCUUUCUUUCUUUAAGUUGAAAGUCUGUUAUAUCUAGGGAACAAGAAAAUAAAGAAUCCAUAAGUAAUUUUAAAAAGCAAGCAGUAUAAAAUUUAAAAAAUAUAGGCAAUAAAGAUUUUUGUAUAAGACAUUGCAUAAAGCAACAGAAAAAUAAAAGCUGUCUUUACAUUCUUUAUACCUUAUCUGGAAAAUUAAAUAAGAUUAUAGAAAACAGUGAGAAACAGAUUUAAUAAAUACACUGAGUUUAUAGAAAAUGGAAACAAAUUACCAAAGCAGAAGAAAAGAGAAAACUUUACUUACAACAGCCAAAUAUUGACGACUACCCAAAUGAUCCUCAAAUAGGACCAUAAGUAAAUUGGUUGUAGCAUGAUCAAACAGUGGGUUAAAACAGUGAAAAAUACACAAACUUCAGCUGCAUGCAGCAACACACAGACAGCUCACAGUCCUAGCACUGAGCACUAGAAGUCAGACAAAGGAUGUUAGCAUAUGGUAAUACUGAAGACCAGAAACUAACGUCCAGUACCAGCAAUGAUCAGAGUGUAGCCCUCGGUUGCUAGGGCAGCUAGAGCCUAUCACUAGAAGGGACAUAAAAGGAGCUGGCAGCCUUCCAUUUCUUCACAUCAAUGCUGAGUUCAUGACCAGAGUCACCACUCUGACCAUCCGCUAGACCAAGCUUUAAGAUUUAUAAGCUUUCCUAUAUACACGCUAGAUUUCAAGAAACAGCUAAGCAAUAAAGAAUUGAGUAAUCUUUGCAUGCCUACUGCUAGUCAUUAUAGAUAAAAAUUACUCAUUAAAUAAUCUGAGUUAAGGAAAAAAAUUUUCAGAAACCUCUCUACACCAUUUGGGUUGGCUAUAGAGAAACUGAAAUGAAAGUGUAUGCAGAUUCAGCUUUAAGCAAUGUCAAAUAACUUUUUAGUCAUUAUGCUGAUUUAUUCUCCAAUCAGCGUAUGUGUAAGAGUGGUUGACUCGUGUACUCACCAGUACUUGGCUUUUUCGUUGUGGCUAUUUUGGAGGGUAUGUGGCAUUACCACACCACUUGUGAUUCAUAUCAUUGAUGAUGAAUGAAGUUGUAUCUAAGUGGCUACUUAUAUUCUUUUAGGUGAUGGCUGUUUUCCCAUAUAGACUGUCUAUCUUUUCUAAUAGAUUAGAACUCUUCAUAAUGUUUUAAAUAUAAACCCUUUAUUACAUGUAUGCAUUUUAGGUAUCUUCUCUUUAUAAUUUCCUAUGAAUUUCUUUUUUUGAACUGUUUAUUUUUUAAAAUAGGAUUUGAGAUAAUAUAUACCCUAAAAUUUAUUUUUAAACAUUAGAACUAUGACAUUGCAGAGGUAAGAUUCUUUUCUGAAAGCAAGUGGUGGUACAACUAAUGAAAGAUCACACCACUACCAACACUAAACAAUAAUCAAAAGGAAAUGAGGCUAGACCAAAACUAGAGUUCAUUUGGAUAAGAUUUUCAUCCAUAUUUUAAAUUAAGAAUUAAUUUAUAAAAUGUAAUCAUAGGGAUAUUUGAAUACAAGAAGUGUAUGCUUCAGGCUUUGUCUCCAAGUCUUCUGCAGAACAUUAUUAAGGUAUCUUUAAUUAAAAAUAAAUUUAUACAAUAUAGUCUGUUUAGAGUUUCCCCUCCAACUCCACAGCUCCCUACCCACCCAAAUCUAGACCUUUCUUUCUCUCUUUUUAGAUUACAAACAGGCAUCUAAAAAAUAAUAAUAAAAUAAAAAUU
rnacentral:lncRNA from 1 species